rnacentral:rRNA from 1 species
GGCUCACCAAGGCAACGAUGCGUAGCCGACCUGAGAGGGUGAUCGGCCACACUGGGACUGAGACACGGCCCAGACUCCUACGGGAGGCAGCAGUAGGGAAUCUUCCGCAAUGGACGAAAGUCUGACGGAGCAACGCCGCGUGAGUGAUGAAGGUUUUCGGAUCGUAAAGCUCUGUUGUUAGGGAAGAACAAGUGCCGUUCAAAUAGGGCGGCACCUUGACGGUACCUAACCAGAAAGCCACGGCUAACUACGUGCCAGCAGCCGCGGUAAUACGUAGGUGGCAAGCGUUGUCCGGAAUUAUUGGGCGUAAAGGGCUCGCAGGCGGUUUCUUAAGUCUGAUGUGAAAGCCCCCGGCUCAACCGGGGAGGGUCAUUGGAAACUGGGGAACUUGAGUGCAGAAGAGGAGAGUGGAAUUCCACGUGUAGCGGUGAAAUGCGUAGAGAUGUGGAGGAACACCAGUGGCGAAGGCGACUCUCUGGUCUGUAACUGACGCUGAGGAGCGAAAGCGUGGGGAGCGAACAGGAUUAGAUACCCUGGUAGUCCACGCCGUAAACGAUGAGUGCUAAGUGUUAGGGGGUUUCCGCCCCUUAGUGCUGCAGCUAACGCAU